CCUUUCGGCCGGAACCGCCAUCUUCCAGUAAUUCGCCAAAAUGACGAACACAAAGGGAGAGAGGAGAGGCACCCGAUAUAUGUUCUCUAGGCCUUUUAGAAAACAUGGAGUUGUUCCUUUGGCCACGUAUAUGCGAAUCUAUAAGAAAGGUGAUAUUGUAGACAUCAAGGGAAUGGGUACUGUUCAAAAAGGAAUGCCCCACAAGUGUUACCAUGGCAAAACUGGGAGAGUCUACAACGUUACCCAGCAUGCUGUUGGCAUUGUUGUAAACAAACAAGUUAAGGGCAAGAUUCUUGCCAAGAGAAUUAAUGUGCGUAUUGAGCACAUUAAGCACUCUAAGAGCCGAGAUAGCUUCCUGAAACGCGUGAAGGAAAAUGAUCAGAAAAAGAAAGAAGCCAAAGAGAAAGGUACCUGGGUUCAGCUGAAGCGCCAGCCUGCUCCACCCAGAGAAGCACACUUUGUGAGGACCAAUGGGAAGGAGCCUGAGCUGCUGGAACCUAUUCCCUAUGAAUUCAUGGCAUAAUAGGUGUU